rnacentral:pre_miRNA from 1 species
AUACUACUCCCUCCGUCCAAAAAUACUUGUCAUCAAAAUGAAUAAAAGGGGAUGUAUCUAGAUGUAUUUUAGUUCUAGAUACAUCCUUUUUUGUCCAUUUUGAUAACAAGUAUUUUCGGAUGGAGGGAGUAUUAC